GCCAGCGUGUCACAGUGGUUUGAGCAUCGGACUACAAAUCUGGAGACCAGGGUUCGAUUCCUGGUGACC